GAACGCUGGCGGCGUGCUUAACACAUGCAAGUCGAACGCGAAAGGGACUCGGUCCUGAGUAAAGUGGCGCACGGGUGAGUAACGCGUGGAUAAUCUGCCCUUAUGAUCGGGAUAACAGUUGGAAACGGCUGCUAAUACCGGAUACGCUCAAAAUGAACUUUUUGAGGAAAGAUGGCCUCUGCUUGCAUGCUAUCACGUAAGGAUGAGUCCGCGUCCCAUUAGCUUGUUGGCGGGUAACGGCCCACCAAGGCAACGAUGGGUAGCCGAUUUGAGAGGAUGAUCGGCCACACUGGAACUGAAACACGGUCCAGACUCCUACGGGAGGCAGCAGUGGGGAAUAUUGCGCAAUGGGCGAAAGCCUGACGCAGCGACGCCGCGUGAGGGAUUGAAGGUUUUCGGAUCGUAAACCUCUGUCAGAAGGGAAGAAACUACGUUGUGCUAAUCAGCAGCGUACUGACGGUACCUUCAAAGGAAGCACCGGCUAACUCCGUGCCAGCCGCAGC
rnacentral:rRNA from 1 species